AUCGAAUGCAUCUGAAAUGCGUUCCGAGAUAGAUUCGGCGACAGAAUGCGGAGCAAGGCUUUUCACAUCCGAUAUGCGACCACGUCCGCGUGCAUGCGUUCAAUGUUAACCGUGAGAACGUACUCUCGACGAUAACAGGCACGCCUAAAACAAAAUCGUAAUGCUUUGUCUGCGAGUAUUGGUAAUUAGGAUCGAUCAUCUUCGAUGUCACUUUUCUGCUUUCGAAUGAAAAAUGAUUUAGGAAGACUAUGAACAAUUCUACCGUUGCUUUGAUUAUUUGUAUAUUAUAGUAUUUAAGGUGGUAAAUGCUACAAGGUGCGUUAAAAUAUAUAAUAGAAUAUCGAAUACACACGAUAAGAUAGCUACAAGAUUAAUAAAUAAUAGAACAAUUAGAAUUUUUGUUUAUCUGGAACAAAAUGUAUAGAACAUUGAUGCGUGUUAUAAUUAAAUAUUAACAGUUUCGCUGCGGAUGACACACAUGUGCGUUCAACUGAAAAUAUAUGGUUGUUUUUAUUAUUUUUUAGUUUUCAUUUUUUUUUGUUCGGCAAUCAUAUUAUAUAUGAAAUAAGUUACCACAAAUAUAUGUUUUUCAAAAUGAUCAUAUUAGAAGAUUUGUAAGAAAUUUUUCAUUAAAAAGAAUAUCAUAAUUGCAGCACCCAGCGAACGGCUACUUAUUUUCGUCCGCAAUGGAAAUGUUAAUAUUAAGGUGGUAAAUACAUAAUGUAUUAAAAUAUAUAAUAGAAUAUUGAAUACGUUCCACGACAAGAUAGCUACAAGAUUGAUAGAUAAUAGAACAAUUAGAAUUUUUGUUUAUCUCGAACAAAAUGAAUAGAAUAUUGAUGCCUGUUAUAAUUAAAUAUUAAAGCUUCUAGAUAAGACUCCAAAUUAUAAUACGUAGGAUUAAUAACGCUUCAAAUUUAAUUUACAAAGUUCGCCAAGUUUUCUCCAACUAACAGGUCAACCUUUCUCUUCGUUCGGAUACCACACCGUAAUUACAUAAAGGGGGUACUUUAAUAUACCUAAUCAGACCAGUUCUUGCUUUCCACCAUAAUUAUUCGAUGAAGCUAUACUAUGAUAGAUUGAUAACCAGAUGGAAGUCCCACUCAUCUGGCUUAAUAAAACCGUAUUAUAAUAAUUGACAUUCCAACGGGAUAUUUAAUACCGUGUAAUGAUAUUGCGUUUAAUACUUAAUGCGUUAAAAUAACGCGAAACAGUGGCAGUCGCGGAAUAAUGAGCGGAAUUGAACGGGGAACAGAUCGCGGAAUUCCAUUCGUGCGGUUCCAGCGGUCCGAAUCGCGCAGAUUCCGAGGAUUUUUGGUUCUCCGACUUCCGUUAGAUAUUUACACGAACGAUUCUUUGGUAUUCCACUUCCUCUGUAUAAUUAUAUUCACCCCUAACCCUCGCGGGAAUUCCAUUGGUCCGUUCGAACGAUUUUUGGCCGCCCCUUUGGGUUAGGUUUGGGUUAGAGUGGCUACCAUUCUUUCUUAAAUGGAGGUCUAAACACAUGCUCGUACUUUAGUAUUAAUUACUAACAUUCCUGUCGUGUUCUUUCAAAAGAGGCUUGUAUAUACAUUAAUAACUACCAUUUUAGAUAACUAGUAAAUUUAAAUAUAUUUUAUCCUCUGGAUGUUUAACAUGCAUUCUAUUUUCAUAUUUUAUAUAUUCAUGCAUUUGUACAGAUCCUUAAAUAUUGGAAAAUAUUUACACUCGUCAUCGAUGCAUAAAUAUCUUCAGUCUAAUGAUAACCUUCCAAAAAUCUUCCCCUGAAAACUCUUCCUAACACACCCUCAAAAAGACCCACCUCUUCUCUGAUCAUUUUCUCAUUCUAAACCCCUCCCAUCAAAAUUUAAAUAAUUGCGCAUACUACCAACCCCAAAUCACACGCCAAUUUCGUUUAUGAUUGAUACAAAUCGCCAAUGAGCGUUUAAUGGGACCAGGAGAAUAGUCAGACGCAUUCAUCACAUCGUUUCGCCUCUUCCAUCUCCAUGAUCGAUUGUCAAACGUAUCUCGACGCUUUUGUGCCGCGAGCAUCGAUUCACGCGAUCGACUCAUUCACCAAUCGUAAAACUUCUCACGAUUCUCGGCGUUGUUCCGAUAGAAAAAGUUACCCAUUGAUCGUUUUGCUGUCGCGCAAGCGCUGACAAUGGUUCUUUCUUUCUUCGAUCAUUCAUGACCGGAAGUACGCGUCCAUUAUCAGGAACCACGACGAACUGCUUCCAGGUAUCGUUGACGAUAUAUUCGAGCCAACAAAGGGAGGGAAAAUAAAAUUCCACGCGCGUCACGGUUGCGGUUUAUAAGCGGACGACAUGUGAACGCGUCUCGCGUGACUCUUUGUCCGGCUUCGACCAUGGGGGCUCGCGAGGCCGAGUCCUCCUCUUCCCUCGAGAUUUGGAUCUUGUUUCAUCUUCGUGGACAAACGUGUCGCAAUUACAGGAAUUACGGUAAACCCCCUCUCGUUGAUCCGGAUGCUGCGUUAGCUGAUAGAGUUCCAGUUUUAAACCCCUUUGAAGAGGGAGUAUCGACUCCAUUCUGUAGAGAUAAAUUUAUAUUGUAAGGGUAUAUUUAGGUGGUCCAUUGUUUGUUCGUAAUUUUUUAGAGGGAAUUUACGAUUCCUUGUUCAUUUCUCUCUAUACAACAUUGUAUGUAUUCUUUAAGAAUUUUUUAUAUCCAACAUGAAUCAAAACUGAUUUUUUACAUUGUGAUACUUAAUAAAUUCCUUGCAUACAGGAUCAUUGUACGGGAAUAAGAAACUUAUGUAAAUGGUUGAGCAAUUGAAUGUCAAUGCUGCAGACCUAACCCACUGCACUUCUUGACACUGCUCGAUUCGUCUGCUUAUCACGUCCUCCAUACAAGGAACAGGUCACUCGUGAAUCUCCGAUCCCCCUACCCCUGGAAAUACAUUGAUAGCCCCGUGCAGAUGGAAGGUCAACAAAAUAAGUGCAUCAAGCCUGUGGAAUGCAGUCGAGCGAAGAAUAACUCGAAGAAAUUCGAGAAAAACUCGGCCAGAGAAACUUUUAUUUCUGGCCUAUGGAGAAUCAGACGUGCAGAAGUAUCUUCAAUGAACAUGGCUACCUACUUCAAUUUGUACUUGACGAAUUCCUUUGUAAAAAAUAAAGAAACUUUCACGCGAUCCUCUACAAGUUCUUUUAUUUUGAAUAUCAAUCACUUGAUGAUUUCUAUCUAAUCAUACAAUCUAAACAAAA